AUCGAUGAGUGCUCGCCCAACCCCUGCGACCACGGCACUUGUACUGACCUGGUGAACAACUACACUUGCGCCUGUGAGGCUGGGUGGACAGGAUACGACUGUCAGAUAGAUAUUGACGAAUGUGCGUCUAGUCCCUGUCGGAAUGGUGCCUGUGCUGAUAGUGUAAACAGCUACUCCUGCGUCUGUCAAUUCGGAUGGACGGGGACACACUGUGAAACAGACAUUGAUGACUGUACUCCGGACCCCUGUGACCACGGUGCCUGUGCUGACAGUAUAAACAGCUACACCUGCACAUGUGACGCUGGAUGGAUGGGGGCGAAUUGCAAUAUAGGUUUCGUGUAUCAAUAUCUAUCUAUCUAUCGUUAUCUCAUGUCAAAGCAGUUAGCACACUUUGUGAAGACGGUAGAUAGAAUAUGUCAAUUCAUAUACAUCAUGAUUACGUCAAGACACCAUGUAGAUCUAUAAAAAUGUUAUUGCAUACAGAUGAUGGUGUGUCAGAUGGACAUAUUUUGUGAGAAAGAUUACAAACUGCAUUAGCCACAGUUGUGUGGUGUUCAUAUGACUCUUGCACCUGCUUUGCGUAGUGGUUUUUCUGUAUACGUACCUCUCUUUUAUUCUUCUUCCUGAUAAUGCGCGCGGACGCGAAGACUUCUUGCAUUGUAUCAUGUUAGCUUUAAAUUUAGUUCACGACCAUUCGUAUAUUGAUCACACAAAAGACUAACAAUCAAGAUCAAUGACAGCCAAUGUACAACCAACACAAAUGAGCUCAUUGGAAAAGAAAAGGGUAAACAGAACCUUCAGUAAAAAAGUUGAGUUCACAAUUUGUUACAAGUUUCUUAGCCUCCUCGAUCGUACACAAUUUACCUGGCAUCCACAUAUUGAUCGGGUAGACGAGAAACGCCCAGAGGGGUUAGCUGCAGGUAAGUACAUUGCAAUGGCUGCUGGGGCUGUGUUGAUACCCUCAUGACUAUUUCUUGUUUUUUUA